rnacentral:siRNA from 1 species
CACUCCCUUUCUACAGAUUACGUC